AGUCUUAUGAUUCAUUAAUUUAAGAUUAUUUCUGCCCAGUGAAAUUUUAACGGCCGCAGUACUUUGACUGUGCUAAGGUAGCAUAAUAAAUUGAUUUUUAAUUAAAGUCUAGAAUGAAUGGAAAAUUGAAGAAAAGCUGUCUAAAGAAAACUUAUUUUAACUUACUUAUUAGGUGAAAAUACCUAAGAGUUAGAAAAAAGACGAGAAGACCCUAAGAAUUUUUAGAAAAGUAAUUUACUAGUUAUUAGUUUUUGUUGGGGUGACAGAGUAACAUAAUAAACUUAUUUUUAAUAAACAAGCCAAUAAUUUUUUUUUAGAGAAAAUUACCUUAGGGAUAACAGCAUAAUUUUCUUUUAAGAUUGUGACCUCGAUGUUGGACUAAGGGCCUUAUAAUUAGUAAUUAAAAUGGAUAGUUCUGUUCGAACUAAAUUACCUU
rnacentral:rRNA from 1 species